GGUGGGGUAGUGCUAAAAUGGAGACAUGAAGCCGUUAGGGAUCGGGAAGCUGCUGUAAUGUCCAGGAUAUAGACAAAACACAAGUGGGGAAGAAGAAAAGAAGAAAAUUCAACACACUGAUUUAACACUGGAAACGGAAAAGGAAGGACAGAGAGAAGGCAAGAAAAGAAGUACAUAGCAGACAGAAGUUGUAAGUCAUCAGCAACUGCCUCCUUUGCUGUCUCCAGAUUUAUAUUAUGAAAGAGAUCUGUGACAAAGGCUGUUGAGUAUUACUCUCAUCAAAUUCCAUUAGGCCAGGCUCACAGUGUAGAAAAUAAGAAGGAAAAUUGUCUGAAUGGAGCAAUAUCCCAGAUCAAGGAUGAGGUGUGGGAAUAAAUGCAAGAAAAUA